rnacentral:rRNA from 1 species
UUCCGGUUGAUCCUGCCGGACCUGACUGCUAUCGGAUUGAUACUAAGCCAUGCGAGUCAUUGUAGCAAUACAAGGCAUACGGCUCAGUAACGCGUAGUCAACCUAACCUAUGGACGAGAAUAACCUCGGGAAACUGAGAAUAAUGCUCGAUAGAACACUAUAUCUGGAAUGGUUUGUGUUCCAAAUAAUUUAUCGCCGUAGGAUGGGACUGCGGCCUAUCAGUUUGUUGGUGAGGUAAUGGCCCACCAAGACUAUUACAGGUACGGGCUCUGAGAGGAGUAGCCCGGAGAUGGGUACUGAGACACGGACCCAGGCCCUAUGGGGCGCAGCAGGCGAGAAAACUUUGCAAUGUGCGAAAGCACGACAAGGUUAAUCCGAGUGAUUUGUGCUAAACGAAUCUUUUGUUAGUCCUAGAAACACUAACGAAUAAGGGGUGGGCAAGUUCUGGUGUCAGCCGCCGCGGUAAAACCAGCACCUCAAGUGGUCAGGAUGAUUAUUGGGCCUAAAGCAUCCGUAGCCGGCUCUGUAAGUUUUCGGUUAAAUCUGUACGCUUAACGUACAGGCUGCCGGGAAUACUGCAGAGCUAGGGAGUGGGAGAGGUAGACGGUACUCGGUAGGAAGGGGUAAAAUCCUUUGAUCUAUUGAUGACCACCUGUGGCGAAGGCGGUCUACCAGAACACGUCCGACGGUGAGGGAUGAAAGCUGGGGGAGCAAACCGGAUUAGAUACCCGGGUAGUCCCAGCUGUAAACUAUGCAAACUCAGUGAUGCAUUGACUUGUGGUCAAUGCAGUGCUGCAGGGAAGCCGUUAAGUUUGCCGCCUGGGGAAGUACGUACGCAAGUAUGAAACUUAAAGGAAUUGGCGGGGGAGCACCACAAGGGGUGAAGCCUGCGGUUCAAUUGGAGUCAACGC